rnacentral:rRNA from 1 species
CCCGUUAGUGGCGGACGGGUGAGUAUCGCGUAGGGAUUUAUCGUUGGGUGGGGGAUAACCUUGGGAAACUGGGGCUAAUACCGCAUGACGCCUGAGGGCCAAAGUUGUAAUGGCGCCUGACGAGGAGCCUGCGUCCGAUUAGGUAGUUGGUUGGGUAAUGGCUGACCAAGCCUGCGAUCGGUAGCUGGUCUGAGAGGAUGAUCAGCCACACUGGGACUGAGACACGGCCCAG